AUCAAUCCCUGGUGGUAGAUCAAGAAACAUAAAGGAAACUACACAAGGCAAAUUACAAUCAAAUUUCUUAAAACCAACCAUAAACUUC